rnacentral:rRNA from 1 species
CCUACGGGAGGCAGCAGUGAGGCAUAUUGGUCAAUGGACGAGAGUCUGAACCAGCCAAGUAGCGUGAAGGAUGACUGCCCUAUGGGUUGUAAACUUCUUUUAUAUGGGAAUAAAAUGUUCCACGUGUGGGAUUUUGUAUGUACCAUAUGAAUAAGGAUCGGCUAACUCCGUGCCAGCAGCCGCGGUAAUACGGAGGAUCCGAGCGUUAUCCGGAUUUAUUGGGUGUAAGGGGAGCGUAGGUGGAUUGUUAAGUCAGUUGUGAAAGUUUGCGGCUCAACCGUAAAAUUGCAGUUGAAACUGGCAGUCUUGAGUACAGUAGAGGUGGGCGGAAUUCGUGGUGUAGUGGUGAAAUGCUUAGAUAUCACGAAGAACUCCGAUUGCGAAGGCAGUUCACUGGACUGCAACUGACACUGAGGCUCGAAAGUGUGGGUAUCAAACAGGAUUAGAUACCCUGGUAGUC